UACGUAGGGUGCAAGCGUUAAUCGGAAUUACUGGGCGUAAAGCGUGCGCAGGCGGUUCGUUAAGACAGAUGUGAAAUCCCCGGGCUUAACCUGGGAACUGCAUUUGUGACUGGCGAGCUAGAGUAUGGCAGAGGGGGGGUAGAAUUCCACGUGUAGCAGUGAAAUGCGUAGAGAUGUGGAGGAAUACCGAUGGCGAAGGCAGCCCCCUGGGCCAAUACUGACGCUCAUGCACGAAAGCGUGGGGAGCAAACAGG
rnacentral:rRNA from 1 species